rnacentral:rRNA from 1 species
GAUGAACGCUGGCGGCGUGCCUAAUACAUGCAAGUCGAGCGAACGGACGAGAAGCUUGCUUCUCUGAUGUUAGCGGCGGACGGGUGAGUAACACGUGGAUAACCUACCUAUAAGACUGGGAUAACUUCGGGAAACCGGAGCUAAUACCGGAUGAUAUUUUGAACCGCAUGGUUCAAAAGUGAAAGACGGUCUUGCUGUCACUUAUAGAUGGAUCCGCGCUUCAUUAGCUAGUUGGUAAGGUAACGGCUUACCAAGGCAACGAUGCAUAGCCGACCUGAGAGGGUGAUAGGCCACACUGGAAGUGAGACACGGUCAAGACUCCUAAGGGAGGCAGCAGUAGGGAAUCUUCCGCAGUGGGCGAAAGCCUGACGGAGCAACGCCGCGUGAGUGAUGAAGGUCUUCGGAUCGUAAAACUCUGUUAUUAGGGAAGAACAUAUGUGUAAGUAACUGUGCACAUCUUGACGGUACCUAAUCAGAAAGCCACGGCUAACUACGUG